rnacentral:rRNA from 1 species
AAACGUAGGGUGCAAGCGUUGUCCGGAAUUACUGGGUGUAAAGGGAGCGCAGGCGGGAAGACAAGUUGGAAGUGAAAACCAUGGGCUCAACCCAUGAAUUGCUUUCAAAACUGUUUUUCUUGAGUAGUGCAGAGGUAGAUGGAAUUCCCGGUGUAGCGGUGGAAUGCGUAGAUAUCGGGAGGAACACCAGUGGCGAAGGCGGUCUACUGGGCACCAACUGACGCUGAGGCUCGAAAGCAUGGGUAGCAAACAGGAUUAGAUACCCUGGUAGUCCAUGCCGUAAACGAUGAUUACUAGGUGUUGGGGGAUUGACCCCCUCAGUGCCGCAGUUAACACAAUAAGUAAUCCACCUGGGGAGUACGACCGCAAGGUUGAAACUCAAAGGAAUUGACGGGGGCCCGCACAAGCAGUGGAGUAUGUGGUUUAAUUCGAAGCAACGCGAAGAACCUUACCAGGUCUUGACAUCCGAUGCAUAGCACAGAGAUGUGUGAAAUCCUUCGGGACAUCGAGACAGGUGGUGCAUGGUUGUCGUCAGCUCGUGUCGUGAGAUGUUGGGUUAAGUCCCGCAACGAGCGCAACCCUUAUUGCCAGUUACUACGUUAAGAGGACUCUGGCGAGACUGCCGUUGACAAAACGGAGGAAGGUGGGGAUGACGUCAAAUCAUCAUGCCCUUUAUGACCUGGGCUACACACGUACUACAAUGGCGUUAAACAAAGAGAAGCAAGACCGCGAGGUGGAGCAAAACUCAAAAACAACGUCUCAGUUCAGAUUGCAGGCUGCAACUCGCCUGCAUGAAGUCGGAAUUGCUAGUAAUCGCGGAUCAGCAUGCCGCGGUGAAUACGUUCCCGGGCCUUGUACACACCGCCCGUCACACCAUGAGAGCCGGGGGGACCCGAAGUCGAUAGUCUAACCGCAAGGAGGACGUCGCCGAAGGUAAAACUGGUGAUUGGGGUG